AAACAAUGCAAGCAUUGCAAAUGGUUUAAGAGCCCUUGAGAAAUUUCCCAACCAAAAGCUUUUUGGUAGUUCUUCAUUAAGAAGUGUACAACAACAUUAAUUAUAAGUAGUCUCCAGUGAUCUCAGUCAAAUUAAUUGAGAUCAUCAAGAAUUAAUAAUGUGGAAGCUGAAGUUUGGAGCUGAGGGUGAAAAUGUUGACCCUUACUUGUUCAGCACAAACAAGUUUGUGGGAAGGCAAAUAUGGGAGUUUGAUCCUCAUGCAGGCACACCUCAAGAGCGAGCAGAGGUUGAAGAGGCUCGUCAAAACUUUUACAACAAUCGUUACAAGGUCAAGGCCUCCAGUGACAUCCUCUGGCGAAUGCAGCUUCACAGAGAGAGAAAUUUCAAGCAAACAAUUCCCCAAGUUAAAAUCGAAGAUGAUGAUGAGGAAUGUAGACAUGAAAAAGCCACCGUUGCAUUCAAAAGGGCUGUUGCCUUCUGGUCUGCCUUGCAAUCACCACACGGCCAUUGGCCCGCUCAAAAUACUGGUCCUUUGUUUUAUACUCCUCCCUUUGUCAUAGCCCUGUAUAUUACAGGCCAUCUUAAUAUGGUUUUCUCUGCAGACCAUCGUAAGGAAAUGCUUUGGUUCAUGUACUGUCACCAGAACGAAGAUGGUGGGUGGGGAUUACACAUAGAAGAGGGCCAAAGUAUGAUGUUGUGUACACUUCUGAACUACAUUUGUAUGCGUCUACUUGGCGAAGGACCCGAUGGUGGUCUAGACAAUGCUUGUGCAAGAGCAAGGAAAUGGAUUCUUGAUCAUGGUGGUGCAACACACUCUUCAUCUUGGGGAAAGAUUUGGAUGGCAAUGCUCGGUGUAUAUGAUUGGGAGGGAAACAACCCUAUUCCCCCAGAGCUUUGGAUCUGCCCAUCUUUCCUCCCUUUUCAUCCAGCAAAAAUACUCUGCUAUACUCGCAUGAGUUACUUGGCUAUGUCAUAUUUGUUUGGGAAAAGAGUUGUUGGCCCCAUCACACCCCUCAUUCUGCAACUGAGAGAAGAAAUCUACAAUGAACCUUACAAUGAAAUUAAAUGGAGCGAAGUGCGCCAUCUGUGUGCAAAAGAGGAUAAAUACCAUCCCCAUCGUAAGUUACAAUGCUUGAUGUGGGAUAGUCUUCACACAAUCUGUGAGCCUCUUUUCACUCGCUGGCCCUUCAAAAAGCUCAGAGAGAAGGCUCUUCAAGAAACCAGUAAACACAUUCAUUAUGAAGACGAGAAUACUCGAUACAUUACUAUUGGAGUUGGGGGAAAGCCAUUAAAUAUGCUUGCUUGCUGGGCUGAAGAUCCGAAUGGAGAAUCUUACAAGAAGCAUCUCGCAAGGAUUGCAGAUUACAUAUGGGUUGCAGAAGAUGGAAUGACAAUGCAGAGUUUUGGUAGCCAGAUGUGGGAUGCUAGUUUCGCCAUUCAAGCUUUGCUUGCUGCAAAUCUGAAUGAUGAACUUGGAUCUGUACUUAAGAAAGGACAUGACUUCAUUAAGAAAUCUCAGGUUAGGGAUAAUCCUUCUGGUGACUUUUUAGCCUAUUUUCGCCACAUUUCUAAAGGAGCAUGGACUUUCUCUGAUCAAGACCAAGGAUUGCAAGUUUCUGAUUGUACUGCAGAAGGUUUGAAGUGUUGCUUGUUGUUGUCCAUGCUGCCACCACAACUCGUUGGUGAACAACUAGAACCUGAGCGUUUAUAUGAUGCUGUCAAUGUCAUACUUUCUCUGCAGAGUCCAAAUGGUGGUGUAUCAGCCUGGGAGCCGGCAGGAGCUCCAAAAUGGUUGGAGUGGCUCAACCCUGUAGAAUUUCUCGACCAUCUCAUCAUCGAAUAUGAGCAUGUUGAGUGCACCUCAUCUUCAAUCCAAGCAUUAGCUUUGUUUAGGAAGUUAUACCCUGCCCACAGAAAGAAACAGAUAGAUAAUUUCAUCACAACUGCUGCAGGGUUCAUUGAAGACAUACAAAGUCCUGAUGGGUCAUGGUAUGGAAACUGGGGAAUCUGCUUCAUUUAUGGAACAUGGUUUGCAAUCAGCGGGUUAGAGGCUGCUGGCAAGACUUACAAUAAUUGUGAGGCUAUACGCCGAGGUGUUGAAUUUUUACUCAAAACACAGAGAGAUGAUGGUGGAUGGGGAGAGAGCUACAUUUCUUGUGAAACCAAGAUCUAUACACCUCUUGAAGGAGACCGAUCCAAUUUGGUGCAGACUGCAAUGGGAUUAAUGGGUUUAAUUCAUGGUGGACAGGCGGAGAGAGACCCUACUCCUAUUCACCAAGCUGCAAAGAUGUUGAUCAAUUCUCAAUUGGAAAAUGGCGAUUUCCCCCAGCAGGAAGUGAUCGGAGUUUUCUUUAGGAAUGCCAUGUUACACUACGCAGCAUUCAGGAAUAUUUUCCCAAUUUGGGCUCUUGCAGAAUACCGCAAUAUGGUUCCAAUGCCUCUCUAUGUGUAGUCGUGUAGAUUAAUCUACGUGUAUGUACGCAUAUACGAAGAGUGUUGUCUGCUUAACGCCAUUAGUGAUUUGAUGUGGCACAAUGGUUUCUACCAUGGUAUUAGUAUUAGAGCCGUAACACAGCAUCUGAGAUCCUGUUUCGUGUGUGACUCUGAGCUAAGUUUUUCACCUUUUGUUUACUUUUUCAUUCUUCGAGCUCAUCAUGGUUUUCUCUCCUCUGUAAUGUGUUGUUCACAUUUACAGCAUCAUAUGUUUUCAUAUCUUAAGUUUAUUCCAUUUUUGGUCUUUUGAUCGGUGCGAAAUCCUUUUAUUCUGUUAAAAAGGUUGAAUCAGUUGUCAAUUGGUGAAUUUGAGGCUCUGACUUGUAAGUUGCUAUUGUGUGAUCCAAUUUGGGAAUUUUGGUGCCCUAAUUUGGAACACCUGGGAAAUUUGGUGACUUUAUGUCUCUUAGUUGGAUGACACCAAUUAUGUGUCUUGGAGUACUAAGAUUCAAAAAUUGUUAAAAGGUUAUCAUCUAAUAGGGUUUCAUGAUGGCGUAACUACGUGUCCUACUGAGGAACACAGUGAUGAGUAUCAUCCAAUAGGGUUUCUUGCUUGGCGUUCAAGUAUAAUGAACAUUGGUUAUUUAAGGACAACUGAAGCAACAACCAUGAAGAGUCAUAAACUCUCAGGUGGCUGGGUUAAAGGUAAAAACAGGGAUCUUACCAAGGAGUGGGAGACAAGGUGAUAUUAGAACAAGCCAUUGACACUCUUGAAGGUUUGCCCUUAAUAUCUUCAACUGUAGACUGCAACCUGCAAACGCUGCUCUUCAGUUCUAGACUUCACUGCAGUGAAUUCUAUACUUUCUCGCUCUCCACGGGUUGUAAAAGAUGAGACAAGUCCAGAAACGCUUCAAGAGUCUUAAAAGUAGAAAUUCUGUGAGGCAGAGUACGAAGUCAUCUAAUAAAGAUUCAAUUGGUGAAAUCUGGAAUUUGGUUAUAUAUUUUUAAACAUUGCCCUCAUCUGUUAUUUCAUUUCUAGGGUGUUCAUGCAGGAAUGGAGUGAAUGGAGUUGAAGAGCAGAAUGUAGUAAAGUAGCAGUUACAAUGAAAACUCAUAUUCAUUUACUUUAUUGAAGCCUUGUGCCUCAUACAUGAUACAUGUGUGUAUAAGUAAGAUACAAUAUAUUUAUAUAUAUGCAUAGAUUAUUCAUUCUUCAGCGGUUACAAGUACAUCAAACUCU